GCAAGAUCCUGUUUCAAAACACACACACAAAAAAUGUAAAACAAAAUAAUAAAUAAGGUUAAAAUGUGUUACAUAGCGCUUUCUCUUCAACUCACAAAUUUCACCCCUAGGAAGUCGCUCUUAGUAGAAGCCACAGCGAAGGUCUAGCUUCGCCGGAAGGAAUCCAGUGAGAUCUCAGCGAAGGUGGCGCAAGCCGGCCGUUCAAGCGCGGGAGAGGGCCGAGCAGUGCCCUGCCGGGAAACAGGCUUCGCAGAAACGAUUUCAGCCUCGAAGGCAGCACACGGUGGAGUAAGUGGUAGCGCAAGGCCCAGCCCAGCGGAGAGCAGACAAUGACGGGGGCAGCCCCAGUCCCCCGCUCGGCCC
rnacentral:lncRNA from 1 species